AAGACAUAUUAAAGAAUGUCGAGAAAUGGGUGUUCGCAUCAGAGGAAGAGAAAUGGCUUGAUGACCAUGAGAGGGAUCAAAAUCGUUACAAUGCUUGUCGAGGAGCAUAUAAGAAUCUGAAGCGCGCAGAAAAAGCUCGGCCUUGAUAGAGAACCUCUCUGCAAAAAAUAAAAGCCUGGGAAAAGGAAAAAGGAAUCCCGUUCAUGUAUGACAAGGUAAGAUUGCUAGAGACCUUGGAAGAACAUACUGUGCUCAGGCAUCAGAGAGAGGAGGAGAAGCGGCGAAUAUGGG